AGAGCGAACGCUGGCGGCAGGCCUAAUACAUGCAAGUCGAGCGGCCACUUCGGUGGCAGCGGCGGACGGGUGAGUAACGCGUGGGAAUGUGCCCUUUGGUACGGAACAACUGAGGGAAACUUCAGCUAAUACCGUAUGUGCCCUUCGGGGGAAAGAUUUAUUGCCAUUGGAGCAGCCCGCGUUGGAUUAGCUAGUUGGUGGGGUAAAGCCCACCAAGGCGACGAUCCAUAGCUGGUCUGAGAGGAUGAUCAGCCACACUGGGACUGAGACACGGCCCAGACUCCUACGGGAGGCAGCAGUAGGGAAUCUUGCGCAAUGGGCGAAAGCCUGACGCAGCCAUGCCGCGUGAAUGAUGAAGGUCUUAGGAUUGUAAAAUUCUUUCACCGGGAAGAUAAUGACGGUACCCGAGAAGAAGCCCCGGACUAACUCGUGCCAGCAGCCGC
rnacentral:rRNA from 1 species